CGGACCGGCGCGACGGGUGAGUAACGCGUAUGACAACCUACCUAGUCAGGAAGGGGAACUAACCCGGCGAAAGUCGGACUAAUACCGCAUAAAACAGGGGUUCCACAUGGAAAUAUUUGUUAAAGAAUUAUCGCUGAUAGAUGGGCAUGCGUUCCAUUAGAUAGUUGGUGAGGUAACGGCUCACCAAGUCCACGAUGGAUAGGGGUUCUGAGAGGAAGGUCCCCCACACUGGUACUGAGACACGGACCAGACUCCUACGGAAGGCAGCAG
rnacentral:rRNA from 1 species